UCGUUACUCAGAAAAAGUGAUUGGUACUCGAGUUUAAAAGGUAAUAAAUUAGUCAAACGUAUAAGGUAAAGGCAUCAGUGCUCAGACAUGCACCAGUGUGCCAAAAGUAGGUGUUAUUAUAGAUUAAUAAAGUAUGAAUUGAAAAGUAACUUAAAUUUUAAAAGAAUUGCUUAGCAUAAACCACAACACUACUUCAAAGAAGUGCUGUCUUCUGACAUGAAGGGAUAUGUCAUAUGCGCCAUUUUUUUGGAGCGUCACAUGGUAUUUUGAUCAGACGUUAGCAGCCGAAUUGUGCACUGCUUCACGUAAUUAAUACUUAAUUUGUCUGGAAAAAGUAAAAAAUUAAUAUAAAUCCAUAUUAAAGUACGCCCUGGCCGAUUACUGGGUUUGAGGCAGUAAUUUUAAAGGGAUCGUGGACCCAGAGGUCAGCCGAUAGAGGCUGAGCAUAGGUUUCAAGAUUUUUUUAUUAUUUUCAAAUGCAAUGUAAGUCGUUAAAUCAAGCACCUUUAAAUAUCUACAUUAUUAUGACUUUAUUUCAUUGAAAUACAUCAAAUACUCAGUAGUCAUCCUGUGGCUGACCACUGGACACUGAGAUCACGGAACUCGGAACCCAAUAGCCAGGCGUUAAAAUGAGAUGGCUGUAUAUUGGGUACUUAAAGGCUGUGUCUUGGUAGACGGAAGGCUGAUUACUGGCAAAAAGGGCCCUUGCAUUAUAUUUAAUGAAAUAUUUCCAUAAGCUAAAUUAAAUUACGUUUUAUUCUUUAUAAAAAUUAAACUUUAAUAAAUUAUUGAUGAGUAAAAACAUUCAUAAUUCUUAUUGAUCAAUUAGUGGGCAAAUGAGACGUUCUUGAACAUAGAAAUCUCGUGGAGGGGUUGACUAUUGGUGCCUUUACCCUACGAUAAGUACGAGAGAAACGUCUAACUCGUCUGGAGCGUUUGCCGAAGGUUAUAAAUAGCUCAGUUUUAAGCCAGGACCGCCAUUAUAUUUUUGACCGUCGGAUUGUCACUUUCUCUGGCUUAUUCGUAGACGUAAAAACAAAGAGCCAGUUCAGUGUCAGGUUGCAUGGUCAACCUACCGAGUACACCUAACCAAACGGUGACAAGCAGGUUUACUCGGGAAUCCAGUAGAGAGUUAGGUCCAGGUCGCGAGAGGGGCCUGGCGUCAGCCUUUUUACCAACACAGGUGACGAUUAUACCUCUUACGUUCUCUUCAAGGUCUGACAGAGGGAUAUGAGGGUCUCACGUGUGGACCAUUAGGAGUAAUCCUUACUCAUUGAAAUCUGUUGGUAAUUGAAGAAGCGUUGUCUUGUUAAAUAUAUUUAUUUAUACACAUUAUAUACAUGGUUAGGGCGCCUUAUUCAUCUGUACCCAGGCUUCGGCUAACACAGAUGGAGGGAGGCAAUCACACAGACACUAGGGUUUGCUAUACCUCGGUUUUGUCGGCCGAACGUUUAGAGCUUAAAUUAGGGUCCCUCACACACACUCCUCCCUGUAAAAAUAGAGGUUCGCCUCUAGUUUUACACACAUUAGAAUAGGUGAAUUUGGGGUAGAGUUAGGGUAGAGUCAUUAUUUGGGUGU